rnacentral:rRNA from 1 species
GACGAACGCUGGCGGCGUGCUUAACACAUGCAAGUCGAACGGAGUGGCGAACGGGUGAGUAACACGUGGGUGAUCUGCCUUGCACUUCGGGAUCAGCUGGGGAAACGGGGUCUAAUACCGGAUAGUGCAAGAUGAGCUCGAGUCCUAUCAGCUUGUUGGUGGGGUAAUGGCCUACCAAGGCGUCGACGGGUAGCCGGCCUGAGAGGGUGUACGGCCACUUUGGGACUGAGAUACGGCCCAGACUCCGACGGGAGGCAGCAGUGGGGAAUAUUGCACAACGGGCGGAAGCCUGAUGCAGCGACGCCGCGUGGGGGAUGAAGGCCUUCGGGUUGUAAACUCCUUUCGAUAGGGACGCGGUACCUGGAUAAGAAGCACCGGCUAACUACGUGCCAGCAGCCGCGGUAAUUC